AUAGCUUCCUGACCUUUUAGCUAAGAUUAUGUAUAAUAUCUGUUCUUAUGAGUUUAAUACCACUUAUUGACAUAAUGUAUGCCAGUUAUUGCUAGCCAACUUAC
rnacentral:snRNA from 1 species